UGCUGUUGGUCAUAACCCCACUUUUGCAAGGGUGGGGGAGUUGGCUGAUCUGGUACCUGACAAUUGACCAUCCAUAUUAAUCUGAUAAUAUUUGAAAAUCUGCUGGAUCUUAUUGGAGAGAAGCAAGGUGCAGAUGCCAAAACAGCCUUUAAGAAAGUCACAGAUCUAAUAUAUGAAGAAAUAAAAGCUGCAUAUUGAUGUACUGUGUACUAGAGUUUGAAUAAAACAUUUCAAAAACUGAAA